UCCGACGAUGAUGGCAGUCAAUCAGGAUAAGUGCCAAAUUGCUACGGGGAACCAAAAAGCGAAUCUGCUCAAGCAGUGAUAAAAUAUAAAUCAGUUACGGAAAUUGGUUUCAGUGCGAUUUCGGUGACCAGGAGUACGACCACGGCCAACUACUACACUCCCCGUGAUGACAGCCCGCGAACCAAUGGCUUGCGCAAAGAAUAGCUACUACUGCAAAGAAUAUCUACUUUUGAAGUACCGGCAAAUGCAUAAGUGUUAGGUAUCUUGAAUAUGUAUGGACUAGAGGCUUCUGAUCAACACCCGUUGAGAAAUCUGAGGGGGUCGCACCAAGAUCAGAGGUAUCCGACGCAGUGACACAUAGGAUCUCCGGGAGUGUGGAAUGACCACAAGGAGAGAGCAGAUUCCAGUCAAGAUCUCAAGUCAGCAUGGGGCUUUGCUGGGACUGGACAUCCUACAGCUUUCAGGUGAUUGGCUGAGUGUUGUAUGUCCGAACACGGAAGAUUUAAGACUGGUCCAACUAGGACGCAUACUACAGACAUAUUGCAAGAAAUAAAUAGUAUAAAGACACAGAUGUGAUGGAUAUGAUGUGAACAGAAAUUUCUAAUGAAAUGAAACAACCAGAAAUAUUAAAUGAGAUCCGCAGUUGUCUGCUAUACAGCCCUAUGGUACACCAUUGGACCUUUUUAGAGAGGGCAGUAUCAAUAUAGGUGGUGCUUGUGAAUUGACUUUUCUCAUCCAUUUACACUCGUCUCUUUUGGAUUAUUGUUCUCAUAGCUGGAGAUCCCAAACGAAAUGGACUUUGUCAUUUGUGACGAGGCAGAAAUCAGCAACACCAAGGUCAUGUGUAUGUUAUUAACAGAACGAUUGGAAGCUACACACACUGGUGAUGAUGUGAGAAGAGAAAACAGUGCAAUGCAUCCUUGAAGACAAAAAACGACAUAAUAGAAGGACUUACCAUGGAAAAUGGCCAUCCUCCGAGCACUGCCAGACUUACUGCCCUAAGGACAGUUGAUACAAUCAAGAAAAGAAUGUCAUCAGAAGAGUGCACUCUAUCAUGUACAAAAUGCAACAAUGCAUUUUCAUAUGGACACUACGGAGCCCUACCUAAUACAGUAGCUGUCACCAGAUGGAAAUAUAAUCACUGACGAACUCAAAAAUAACGACGAAAGGAUAAAAAGUAACAACAAAAGGAGCACCUUUUUGGUCAAACGAGGAUGAUAAACCUUGAAGUUGUGAUUAUGACACCUGCAAAAUGCCUUGUUGUCCUUGAAAGCAAAUUAACUUCUUUUGAGAUAGAACAUUUGAUUUGGCCCCAGACAGUUUCCAGCUGUGCACUAUCCAUGCCAUGCUAACUGAACCAAGAACAGUGCCAUUGGUGUUGUCACAGAGCAUAAGAAUGAAGCAACCUAUGAUGCAAUAUGGACUUUUCCUCAAGAAUGAAAGAAAUUUAAACUGAAUUCCUGAUGCUAUGAAAGAAAUUUAAACUGAAUUCCUGAUGCUACUAAAUUUUGAGAGCAGUGAAUUUUGUCAAAAGACAUUUUGCACAGUAAAAUCAGUGGUUGUCCGUUCCACUUUGGGUAAUGUCUGUGGCAAAGAAUUCAAGCCCAGGGGCUUCCCAGCUGGUAUGCUACAUGUCCCCAAAAAUGCAAUGCUGAUUGAAUAAUUUCAAGCACUUGCAUUUGUGUUCCCUACAAGAUGUUAGAGACGUAACUGCUGUGGAUGAGGAAAUGAACGAGAACCUAGAAGACUAAUAACCUAUUUCAAGGCUACGUGGAUUGGGAAUGUGCAACAAGGACGAAGACGAUGGCCUGCUUUUUUUAAACAACUUUGAAAUGUCCAUGAAAGAGCUUGAAAGGAUUUGCCUUGCACAAACAACUGUAGAAGGCUGACAGCCUUUGGCUCAGGUGUCACCAUUAAAAACCCAACUCUGUGUCAACUUAUAGACCGAUUGCAUGUAGAACAAGCCGACAACGAAUUCCUUAUUGGUUGACAAAACUGCAGUUGGCUUGCCACUAACCAUGAAAAUGUAAAUGUCAGUCAACCAGUGGAGAAGUACGAUACUAUCCCAGUUCUUUAAUAUCUUUGUGGCAUUGCUCACUUAUAGAAUUACUAACUAGAUUGAUUUUUUAGUUUCAGGUUUGAUUUAAUAAAAUAAAAAUGUCCAGUAGGCAAACUGUCUGGCCCCACAUGCAAUUCCAUUAACGAUAUCAUAAUCCCCUUAAAAUAUAAUCCCAACUAGAAAACUUCAGAUGUCAGCAGUUUUUUAUAUAUGUAGAUACCAGGAUGAUAAUGCUUCUGAACAGAUAGUCAGCAUUUACUUGAAAUAUUAAAUUUGAAUUAGUUUAAUGUUCAGUAAGAUGCAUUAUUUCCAUGGCAAACUUUGUAAGUUAAGAGACUUCACAUAAUCAUAAGUUUAUAUAAAUAAGAUUAUUGAACAUAUUUCCUAUCUUGGAAUGUACACAUGAAAGUACCUGUUUUCCCGAAAUAUUCCUGUAGUAUUAAACUAAUUAAACGAAGCCCUCAAGUAACCUAAAUGUCUACAUAAAAGUACCUAUGCUUACACUACAAAAUACUAUUAAAAAGCUCAUUCAAAAAUUACAGCCUUAUCACUGCAACAAACUAAUUUAUAUAAACUGUUGAGAAUA